rnacentral:rRNA from 1 species
AACGAACGCUGGCGGCAGGCCUAACACAUGCAAGUCGAGCGAGGACUUCGGUCCUAGCGGCGGACGGGUGAGUAACGCGUGGGAACGUGCCCUUUGCUUCGGAAUAGCCCUGGGAAACUGGGAGUAAUACCGGAUGAGCCCUUUGGGGGAAAGAUUUAUCGGCGAAGGAUCGGCCCGCGUUGGAUUAGGUAGUUUGUGGGGUAAUGGCCUACCAAGCCGACGAUCCAUAGCUGGUUUGAGAGGAUGAUCAGCCACACUGGGACUGAGACACGGCCCAGACUCCUACGGGAGGCAGCAGUGGGGAAUCUUAGACAAUGGGGGAAACCCUGAUCUAGCCAUGCCGCGUGAGCGAUGAAGGCCUUAGGGUUGUAAAGCUCUUUCAGCUGGGAAGAUAAUGACGGUACCAGCAGAAGAAGCCCCGGCUAACUCCGUG